GAAUGGCACCACGAGGGUUAUACUGUCUCCUUUUUCUAAUCAGUGAAACUAAUCUCCCCGUGAAGAAGCGGGGAUAAAAAUAUAAGACGAGAAGACCCUAUGGAGCUUUAAACUUUAUAACAAAUGCUAUACAUUUAAUAACCUUCAGAGCAUUAAGCAACAUCCUAGCAUUAUGAUUAUUAGUUUUAGGUUGGGGUGACCGCGGAGCAAAAAUUAACCUCCACAUUGAACGGGACUAGACCCUGAGCAAAAAGCAACAACUUUAAGCACCAAUAAAUUGACAUUAAUUGACCCAAUAUUUUGAUCAACGAACCAAGUUACCCUAGGGAUAACAGCGCAAUCCACUUCAAGAGCUCCUAUCGACAAGUGG
rnacentral:rRNA from 1 species